GAUGAACGCUGGCGGCGUGCCUAAUACAUGCAAGUCGAGCGAAUGGAUUAAGAGCUUGCUCUUAUGAAGUUAGCGGCGGACGGGUGAGUAACACGUGGGUAACCUGCCCAUAAGACUGGGAUAACUCCGGGAAACCGGGGCUAAUACCGGAUAACAUUUUGAACCGCAUGGUUCGAAAUUGAAAGGCGGCUUCGGCUGUCACUUAUGGACGGACCCGCGUCGCAUUAGCUAGUUGGUGAGAUAACGGCUCACCAAGGCAACGAUGCGUAGCCGACCUGCGAGGGUGAUCGGCCACACUGGGACUGAGACACGGCCCAGACUCCUACGGGAGGCAGCAGUAGGGAAGCUGCCGCAAUGGACGAAGGUCUGACGGAGCAACGCCGCGUGAGUGAUGAAGGCUUUCGGGUCGUAAAACUCUGUUGUUAGGGAAGAACAAGUGCUAGUUGAAUAAGCUGGCACCUUGACGGUACCUAACCAGAAAGCCACGGCUAACUACGUGCCAGCCGCCGCCGUAA
rnacentral:rRNA from 1 species